rnacentral:rRNA from 1 species
UUGAAUUUUAGCGGGCCGCGAAAUUCGCCCUUUGCCARCAGCCGCGGGUAAUACGAAGGAUCCCAAGCGUUGUCCGGAUUUACUGGGUUUAAAGGGUGCGUAGGCGGACUUAUAAGUCAGUGGUGAAAGCCUUCAGCUUAACUGAAGAACUGCCAUUGAAACUGUAAGUCUCGAGUUCGGUUGAGGUCAUUGGAAUGUAACAUGUAGCGGUGAAAUGCAUAGAUAUGUUACAGAACACCAAUUGCGAAGRCASAUGACUAAACCGAAACUGACGCUGAGGCACGAAAGCCGUGGGGAUCAAACAGGAUUAGAUACCCUGGUAGUCC